AAAAAUAGUUAAAUUUAUUAUAGUUGUAAUGUUUAAACACACAUGCAAUGUUUCACCUGUAGGAAAUAUUUACAUUUGCACAAAUUGAAAUGAAUGACAGAAAAAAGAAAAUAAAGGAGCUUUUCAAGAUUACGGAUAUGGAAAUCAACGAAAAGGCACAUGUCUCCCAAAAGAUUUCAGACCAUGUAAAAGCAUCUGUUGACAACCUUCAAAAAGUAUUCUUCCAUUCAAGUGAAAUACAAUAUCAGGACUUUGCUAAGGUAGGCAGAAAUCAUUCAACAUAAAUUAAGUACAUUUUUAUAUUGGGAAAUGG
rnacentral:lncRNA from 1 species